AGAAGGUGUGUUAUCACAUGCAGCAGGGGAGAAGGUGUGUUAUCACAUGCAGAUGGGACAGUGCAGCAGGGGAGAAGGUGUGUUAUCACAUGCAGAUGGGACAGGAAGGUGUGUUAUCACAUGCGGAUGGGACAGGAAGGUGUGUUAUCACAUGCAGAUGGGACAGGAAGGUGUGUUGUCACAUGCAGAUGGGACAGGAAGGUGUGUUAUCACAUGCAGAUGGGACAGGAAGGUGUGUUAUCACAUGCAGAUGGGACAGCUGAAUGUCAUUUUCUUAGUAAAACGUGGAGGUGGACACAUUUGCCGUUUUCAAAAAGUAUCUGGAAGUGUCCCGUGUAUGAUGAAACCUACACCCCUGCAGUAUAGCAGCAAAGCAUCAACACAAUAGAUUCUCCCCAAAUUAUAUUCUUUUAAGAACUAAUUUCUCUUUUCUGAACGGUGUGCAGGUUAAUUCUUUGUGUUUUCUCAAUGCACAUGCAUUACAAGCACUUUGUUUUUGCAGCCGCAUCAAUAAAGGUUUGGAACUGUCAUUGGAGUGCUGUUAACCGUGCAGAAAACAAUAAACUAUUUAUUUCUCUA